rnacentral:rRNA from 1 species
CACGUAGGGGGCGAGCGUUGUCCGGAUUUAUUGGGCGUAAAGAGCUCGUAGGCGGCUUGGUAAGUCGGGUGUGAAAACUCCGAGCUCAACUCGGAGACGCCAUCUGAUACUGCCAUGGCUAGAGUCCGGUAGGGGAGCGCGGAAUUCCAGGUGUAGCGGUGAAAUGCACAGAUAUCUGGAGGAACACCGAUGGCGAAGGCAGCGCUCUGGGCCGGUACUGACGCUGAGGAGCGAAAGCGUGGGUAGCAAACAGG